AGUCGAACGGCAGCACGGACUUCGGUCUGUAUGAGCGGCGAACGGCAGGUAGCAAUGUAUCGAACGCCUGUAUGGGGGAUAACUACGCGUGCGCAAGAAUAUCGCAUACGCCCUUCGGGGGAAAGCGGGGGUAAUCUUCGUAGUCUCGCACUAUUAGAGCGGCUGAUAUCGGAUUAGCUAGUUGGUGGGGCAACGGCUCACCAAGGCGACGAUCCGUAGCCGGCUUGAGAGGACGACCAGCCACACUGGGACUGAGACACGGCCCAGACUAUACGGGAGGCAGCAGUAAAUUUUUAGACAAUGGGGGAAAUCCUGAUCCAGCCAUCCCGCGUGUGCGAUGAAGGCCUUCGGGUUGUAAAAGACUUCACAGAAGAAACGGCAUCAGGAUAAUACCCGUGCAACUGACGGUACCUGGCAGAAUAAGCACCGGCUAACUACGUGCCAGCAGCCGCGGUAAUACGAGGUGGGAAGCGUUAAUCGGAAUUACUGGGCGUAAAGGCGCAGCGGUUCGGAAAGAAAGAUGAAAUCCCAGAGCUUAACUUGGAACUGCAUUUUUAACUACCGAGCUAGAGUGUGUCAGGAGGGAGGUGGAAUCUCCGCGUGUAGCAGUGAACAGAUAUGCGAUGGCGAAGGCAGCUCCUGAUAACACUGACGCUCAUGCACGAAAGCGUGGGGAGCAAACAGGAUUAGAUACCCGGUAGUCCACGCCCUAAACGAUGUCAACUAGCUGUUGGGGCUUCCUGGCCUUGGUAGCGCAGCUAACGCGGUUAACGUCAGGAGUACGGCUGCAAGAUUAAAACUCAGAGGAAUUGACGGGGACCCGCACAAGCGGUGGAUGAGGUGGAUUAACUGGAUGCAACGCGAAAAACCUUACCUACCCUUGACAUGUCUGGAAUCCCGAAGAGAUUUGGGAGUGCUCGCAAGAGAACCGGAACACAGGUGCUGCAUGGCUGUCGUCAGUCGCCGAUACAAGUUGGUGUAGAGUCCUGCAAAUGAGCGCAACCCUUUGUCAUUAGUUGUUAUGAUAAUUUGAAUAGAGACUGCUGGUGACAACUGGAGAGCAGGCGGUGGACGACGUUUGUCCUCGCCACGCUCUUGAUGGUGGCUUCACACGUCAUACAGGUUGUCGUACAGAGGGUCGCCAACUCCGCGAGGGGAGCCAAUCCAGAAACCGAUCGAAUCCGGAUCGCAGUCUGCAACUCGACUGGUGAAGUCGGAAUCGCUAGCACCGCGGAUCAGCAUGUCGCGGUGAAUACGUUCCUGGCCUGGUACACACCGCCCGUCACACCAUGGGAGUGGGUUUUACCAGAAGUGAAGAAGUUCAACUGUAAGAGAAGGAUGCUACUACUGUAGGAUCUGAAGCAGACUUCCAGCAGUCGCAACAAGGUAG
rnacentral:rRNA from 1 species